CUAAUGAAGCCAACAAGUCCUCGUUGGACAAAGGGCGGUGUUGAGGCAGAAGCUGAUUUGCAUAAACCCCAAUAUAACAGCGUGGCCCCAAGGCAACAGACGUCAGUCUAGAGUGAGUUGCGAUUGAGUUAACGGUUUUCUAAAAGGAGUAUCGUCGAGUGCUCGCCGGCCUCUAGAGAUGGCAGAUGAGGAACCCAAGCACGCAAUCGGUAGCGAUCUGCAGCAGGAGAUCACCGGCUUCAAAAAGGAGAAACUCCAACCAAUUGAGAUAAAGGAAAAGCAGCACUUGCCCGAUGCAGCCGCAAUUGAAGCAGAAAAGAAAGCAGUGAAAGAAGCAUCAGGACAAUGAGACUGGUUUUCUAAUUUGUGCUGUACAUUCCACAAGCAUUGCCUUCUAGCUUAUAUCUUUGUAAAAGGGAAAAAAAGCCUCUUUGGAUGCAGUGUGAUCGGAUUGAGUGAACUGGCUGGCUCCUUCCCCAUCCCACUUCCCUUUUCACUUUUUUUUUCCCCCCACCCUUUUUUUUCCUUCCCGGUCUUGUUUUUCAAAAAAAAUAAUGAAUUGAACUACUGACCAUCUGACUGGCUUGAUUUCUGAUGGCACUAAAGAGUUUGUAUGUCAAGAGGAGCCUGGAAAAAGACUGCAGGAAUCUUAAUAACCAAAUGCCUGUGAAUGGAGCAAAGUUGCUAAGGAUCUAUGUUCUGUUAAAUCGAACAUAGAGUGCCAUUUUGUUAGGUCCCUUGGAUUGCAGAGUAACUGUUCUUUUUGAUAUGCAAAUAAACAUUCAAAAUUGAA